GACGUAGGUGGCGAACGUUAUCCGGAAUUAUUGGGCGUAAAGGGUGCGUAGAUGGUGUAGUAAGUUAUCGGUGGCAAAUCGAGGCUCAACCUCGUGGAAGUCGGUAAUACUGCUAUGCUAGAGGAUAGGAGAGGUUAACGGAACUCCCUGUGGAGCGGUGAAAUGCGUAGAUAUCAGGAGGAACACCGGUGGUGUAGACGGCUUUCUGGACCGUAACUGACGCUGAGACACGAAAGCGUGGGUAGCAAACAGG
rnacentral:rRNA from 1 species